AGAGCGAACGCUGGCGGCAGGCCUAACACAUGCAAGUCGAGCGCCCGUAGCAAUACGGGAGCGGCAGACGGGAUAGUAACACGUGGGAACGCGCCCUUCGGUUCGGAAUAACUCAGGGAAACUUGAGCUAAUACCGGAUACGCCCUUACGGGGAAAGAUUUAUUGCCGAAGGAACGGCCCGCGUCCGAUUAGCUAGUUGGUGAGGUAAUGGCUCACCAAGGCGACGAUCGGUAGCUGGUCUGAGAGGAUGACCAGCAUCACUGGGACUGAGACACGGCCCAGACUCCUACGGGAGGCAGCAGUGGGGAAUAUGGACAAUGGGCGCAAGCCUGAUCCAGCCAUGCCGCGUGGAUGAUGAAGGCCCUAGGGUUGUAAAGUCCUUUUAACGGGGAAGUAUAAUGACGGUACCCGUAGAAUAAGCCCGGCUAACUUCGUGCCAGCAGCCGC
rnacentral:rRNA from 1 species